rnacentral:rRNA from 1 species
AUUGAACGCUGGCGGCAGGCCUAACACAUGCAAGUCGAGCGGAUGAAGGGAGCUUGCUCCUGGAUUCAGCGGCGGACGGGUGAGUAAUGCCUAGGAAUCUGCCUGGUAGUGGGGGAUAACGUCCGGAAACGGGCGCUAAUACCGCAUACGUCCUGAGGGAGAAAGUGGGGGAUCUUCGGACCUCACGCUAUCAGAUGAGCCUAGGUCGGAUUAGCUAGUUGGUGGGGUAAAGGCCUACCAAGGCGACGAUCCGUAACUGGUCUGAGAGGAUGAUCAGUCACACUGGAACUGAGACACGGUCCAGACUCCUACGGGAGGCAGCAGUGGGGAAUAUUGGACAAUGGGCGAAAGCCUGAUCCAGCCAUGCCGCGUGUGUUAAGAAGGUCUUCGGAUUGUAAAGCACUUUAAGUUGGGAGGAAGGGCAGUAAGUUAAUACCUUGCUGUUUUGACGUUACCAACAGAAUAAGCACCGGCUAACUUCGUG